UACAGAGGUCUCAAGCGUUUGUUCGGAUUCAUUGGGCGUAAAGGGUGCGUAGGCGGCGCGGUAAGUCGGGUGUGAAAUCUCGGAGCUUAACUCCGAAACUGCAUUCGAUACUGCGGUGCUUGAGGACUGGAGAGGAGAGUGGAAUUCCUGGUGUAGCGGUGAAAUGCGUAGAUAUCUGGAGGAACACCGGUGGCGAAGGCGGCAUCCUGGACCAACACUGACGCUGAGUGAGCGAAAGCCAGGGGAGCAAACGGG
rnacentral:rRNA from 1 species